rnacentral:rRNA from 1 species
GAUGAACGCUGGCGGCGUGCCUAAUACAUGCAAGUCGAACGCUUCACUUCGGUGAAGAGUGGCGAACGGGUGCGUAAUACAUAAGUAACCUGGCAUCUACAGGGGGAUAACUGAUGGAAACGUCAGCUAAGACCGCAUAGGUGUAGAGAUCGCAUGAACUCUAUAUGAAAAGUGCUACGGGACUGGUAGAUGAUGGACUUAUGGCGCAUUAGCUUGUUGGUAGGGUAACGGCCUACCAAGGCGACGAUGCGUAGCCGACCUGAGAGGGUGACCGGCCACACUGGGACUGAGACACGGCCCAGACUCCUACGGGAGGCAGCAGUAGGGAAUUUUCGGCAAUGGGGGAAACCCUGACCGAGCAACGCCGCGUGAAGGAAGAAGUAAUUCGUUAUGUAAACUUCUGUCAUAGAGGAAGAACGGUGGAUAUAGGGAAUGAUAUCCAAGUGACGGUACUCUAUAAGAAAGCCACGGCUAACUACGUG